AUGUACAUUCCUACAAUGUUAAUGCACCAAAUCCCAUUGGAACCCCACAAUUAAGCACACUUGUGAUAUAUUAGUACUAGGAUGGGCAACCUCUUAGAAAAUCCUAGUGUUCUACAUG
rnacentral:rRNA from 1 species